CUCAGAGCUCAGAGGGACUGGUGGGGGCCCUGAUGCACGGAUGCAGAAGAGAAGCAGAGCCAUCCACUCCUCCGACGAAGGGGAGGACCAGGCUGGCGAUGAAGAUGAAGAUGAUGAAUGGGAUGACUGAGUGGCUGAGUUACUUGCUGCCCUGUGCUCCUCCCCGCAGGACAUGGCUCCCCCUCCACCUGCUCUGUGCCCACCCUCCACUCUCCUCUUCCAGGCCCCCAACCCCCCAUUUCUUCCCCACCAACCCCUCCAAUGCUGUUAUCCCUGCCUGGUCCUCACACUCACCCAACAAUCCCAAGGCCCUUUUUAUACAAAAAUUCUCAGUUCUCUUCACUCAAGGAUUUUUAAAGAAAAAUAAAAGAAUUGUCU
rnacentral:lncRNA from 1 species